ensembl:lncRNA
CACUGGUGAUAACUGCAGGGAUGUAUUUGAAAGCCACUGUACCCAUUUUUCUAGAUGAAAAUAUCUUCCCUUGAAUGGCCCAAGUGAAGGUAAAUGACUUCUAGUCUGCCCUCUCUGAAACCCAUGCCCCACUGCUCAUCAAAGAAGACUGAGGUCCUCAAAGAUGAGAAUGGCUGCCUAUUAAAGACCCUUCCAAUAGACUGCAGAAUCCAAAAAAGUAAAACUCAGAGAAGCAGGAGUUGUUGGGAUGGAUAGAAAGAUGAGGAAAAUGAAGACAUAUUGAUGCAAAGAGGCAGAGGGGGACAUAAAGGCCAUUGUCCUGAGCUCCAGAAGAUAGAGCAGAAGUGAACAACAGAAUGAGGGCCUCUCUCAGGCUCCUUGAUGAAAAUUGAAGCCCACUGGAAAAGUGAAGAGAAUCUCUGCAAUAAAGGCACACCAGACCACCAUACUUGGUAAAUUGGAGGGAUCAUCACCUCUAUCAGAACCUGGACUAUCUUCAGGGGAAG